CCUACGGGCGGCAGCAGUGGGGGAUAUUGCACAAUGGGGGAAACCCUGAUGCAGCGACGCCGCGUGUGGGAAGACGGUCCUCUGGAUUGUAAACCACUGUCCCCAGGGACGAAGAUGACGGUACCUGGGGAGGAAGCUCCGGCUAACUACGUGCCAGCAGCCGCGGUAAUACGUAGGGAGCGAGCGUUGUCCGGAAUUACUGGGUGUAAAGGGAGCGUAGGCGGGGAUGCAAGUUGGGUGUCAAAACUACCGGCUCAACUGGUAGGCGCACUCAAAACUGCAGCUCUUGAGUGAAGUAGAGGGAGGCGGAAAUUCUAGGGUAGCGGGGAAAGGCGGAGAUAGUAGGAGGAACCACAGUGGUGAAGGCGGCCUGCUGGGCUUUUACUGACGCUGAGGCUCGAAAGUGUGGGGAGCAAACAGGAUUAGAUACCCCAGUAGUC
rnacentral:rRNA from 1 species